rnacentral:rRNA from 1 species
UACGUAGGCAGCAAGCGUUGUUCGGAGUUACUGGGCGUAAAGGGUGUGUAGGCGGUUAUUUAAGUUUGGGGUGAAAUCUCCCGGCUCAACCGGGAGGGUGCGCCGAAUACUGAAUGACGUGGAGUGCGGGAGAGGAAAGUGGAAUUCCUGGUGUAGCGGUGAAAUGCGUAGAUAUCAGGAGGAACACCGGUGGUGUAGACGGCUUUCUGGACCGUAACUGACGCUGAGACACGAAAGCGUGGGUAGCAAACAGG